UAAGCAUAUCAAUAAGCGGAGGAAAAGAAACCAACAGGGAUUGCCUCAGUAACGGCGAGUGAAGCGGCAAAAGCUCAAAUUUGAAAUCUAGCACUUUCAGUGUUCGAGUUGUAAUUUGAAGAAGGUAACUUUGGUUUUGGCUCUUGUCUAUGUUCCUUGGAACAGGACGUCACAGAGGGUGAGAAUCCCGUGCGAUGAGAUGCCCAAUUCCAUGUAAAGUGCUUUCGAAGAGUCGAGUUGUUUGGGAAUGCAGCUCUAAGUGGGUGGUAAAUUCCAUCUAAAGCUAAAUAUUGGCGAGAGACCGAUAGCGAACAAGUACAGUGAUGGAAAGAUGAAAAGAACUUUGAAAAGAGAGUGAAAAAGUACGUGAAAUUGUUGAAAGGGAAGGGCUUGAGAUCAGACUUGGUAUUUUGCGUUCCCUUCCUUUUUGGUUGGGUUCCUCGCAGUUUACUGGGCCAGCAUCGGUUUGGAUGGUAGGAUAAUGACAUUGGAAUGUAGCUUUACUUCGGUGAAGUGUUAUAGACUUUGUUGAUACUGCCUAUCUAGACCGAGGACUGCGUCUUUGACUAGGAUGCUGGCGUAAUGAUCUUAAGCCGCC
rnacentral:rRNA from 1 species